rnacentral:rRNA from 1 species
GAUGAACGCUGGCGGCGUGCCUAAUACAUGCAAGUAGAACGCUGAAGGAGGAGCUUGCUCUUCUGGAUGAGUUGCGAACGGGUGAGUAACGCGUAGGUAACCUGCCUGGUAGCGGGGGAUAACUAUUGGAAACGAUAGCUAAUACCGCAUGACAACAGUUAUUGCAUGAUAACUGUUUAAAAGGGGCAACUGCUCCACUACCAGAUGGACCUGCGUUGUAUUAGCUAGUUGGUGAGGUAACGGCUCACCAAGGCGACGAUACAUAGCCGACCUGAGAGGGUGAUCGGCCACACUGGACUGAGACACGGCCCAGACUCCUACGGGAGGCAGCAGUAGGGAAUCUUCGGCAAUAGACGGAAGUCUGACCGAGCAACGCCGCGUGAGUGAAGAAGGUUUUCGGAUCGUAAAGCUCUGUUGUAAGAGAAGAACGAGUGUGGGAGUGGAAAGUUCACACUGUGACGGUAUCUUACCAGAAAGGGACGGCUAACUACGUG